rnacentral:rRNA from 1 species
CGCGUAGGCGGUCUUUUAAGUCAGGUGUGAAAGCCCGGGGCUCAACCCCGGAAGUGCACUUGAAACUAAGAGACUUGAGUAUGGGAGAGGGAAGUGGAAUUCCUGGUGUAGCGGUGAAAUGCGUAGAUAUCAGGAGGAACAUCGGUGGCGAAGGCGACUUCCUGGACCAAUACUGACGCUGAGGCGCGGAGGCGUGGGGAGCAAACA